UACAGAGGUCCCGAGCGUUGUUCGGAUUCAUUGGGCGUAAAGGGUGCGUAGGCGGCGGGGAAAGUCUGAUGUGAAAUCCUGGGGCUCAACCCUGGAACUGCAUUGGAUACUUCCUUGCUAGAGUACUGGAGAGGAAACUGGAAUUUACGGUGUAGCAGUGAAAUGCGCAGAGAUCGUAAGGAAGACCAGUGGCGAAGGCGAGUUUCUGGACAGUUACUGACGCUGAGGCACGAAGGCCAGGGGAGCAAACGGG
rnacentral:rRNA from 1 species